AUCCAUGACCAUAAAAUGAGCUGAGUGUUGCUCAGCCAAGUCAUGUGGAGAGCGAGGAACUAAACAUACGACGCUUGGUUGCCAGAUGGCAGGACAGCACUGGACAGCAACCCAAAAGACAAUGCCCUCUGCGUCACUAAGUUCCCCAGAUCAUGAUGCGUCCUUACCACUUGCACAGGAAAGAGGCAAAACCAAGUGACUAAGCGCAGGCUGGCUCUUGGCAGAGUGAGCAGCUGAACCCCAGCAGUGGAGGCUGGUCCAAAGACCCCCUGUGAUCUCCUGCUGUUGGCAUCUGCUCAUACCAGCACAACGCUGGGGAUGGAUUUGUGCCUAGAGCUGAGACAGGCUGCACGUACCAGGACAGGCAUCCAUCUCCCCCAGCCAUGCUGCUGGAAGGAGCACAGCAGCAGCUUCUUGGAGCCUGCGUGUUAGCAGGUGGGUUUUAGAGAUAGCAGCCUUCUGGCUAGCAAAUGAUCCAUGCCAGACAGGUGGAGCACGGUUUGUUACUGCCAGCAGUGGGAAGGAGAACACAUAAAUAAAGCAAAGUGUUGAACAGUUGCUUUGUUUACUACUCCAGUAUCUCCAGCUACUGCCAAGCAGAAAUCAACCGUGAUGCAUUUGAUGCUGGGAGGCAACAAUACUUAGAUCUCAGUAGAAAUGCAUUUCUCAUUCAAAGAUGGAAAACUGCUGUCAGAUGAAUGCUAACCUGGCUGAGAGGUAUAUUUGAGCAGCCAUGUGUGCCUGCCAGACCCUGUUUUACAUAUAUGUUUAUUGAUAGACUCCUUUUCUGAUUGUACAGCCUUCAAACUAGGUGCCUGGCAGUAACCACCCAUUUCAAGAGGCAUGCAAGCAAUGUUCUGUCCUGCUUGCCAUUCAGCAUACCUUAAUGGAGCUGUCCACAUGAAAGCUUCAAUCUAUUUCCUGCUUUUGCUUUGGCAGAUUAUUGAUGUGCAGAUUAUAACACUGUACCUCAGCAACACUAGAGAAAUGAUGGCAGCAGAACAUUAACCCUUCCCCAUGUGCAUAAUCAGCUACAUGCCAGUUUCAUGUUGCUCUGCUAAGAGCCUGGCAGUGGCUUUGGGGACUCACAGAUGCCAUCUCAAAACAAUUAAAUACUGAGGAAUGUAAUUGCUGAAAGACUCAUAACAGCAAUACAUAGAGAAGGCAGAAAUGCACAAACACCUUCCAAAUUGCAAGUCUGUUUAUGACCUUUCUUCUGGCUUCAUUAGCAGUACUGCUGUGCAGUUGCAUGUUAACUGUUAUGGAUGGCCAGCGCACCUGCUCAUUUCCCUGCUUGACUAUGAGCACAACCGGUAGUUGCAAGGCCCAUGCAGACCUAUGUGCCAAGAGUGGAAGAGUAACCAGGCAGAGCAAACAGCAAUUGCUCUAGAUGAGUAAGUUGAUGUAAUUUACCCUGGAGGUAUUUAAGAGACAUGUGGAUGUGGCAUUUCAUGACAUGGUUUGGUCCAGGGUGAUGGUUGGACUUGGUAAUCUUGCAGGUCUUUUCCUACAUAGGUUAUUCUGUGAUUUAUUUAUUUAUUUAUUUAUUUUUUCCCAUCAUGAGAGCCUUCAUGCACAGCAGAGGAGGAAAUGAAACACCAUGCAAACUGCGGGCAGAAGCAGCAUUUGUGAAGAGAAUAGCUGAUUUCCAUAGCAGAGAGCUAAGGAGUGACUGGGGAGACGGUAUGGUACAGUCACUCGUGCUUGGCUGAGGAGAAACAUGAGGUUUUGGCAGAAACCCCGAAAACACUCUUGUACUAAAAAGCAGCAGCAAUCUGGCAGGUAUGCCCUUGUGGAUACUGCCGAUGGCCUCAAUCCAGCCUCUUUAACAAUCUCUUCCUCAAUGGUGCCCAUCAACCCCCAAGAUGCAUCAAAGUAAACUGCGGAAGUGAGGUUUCCAUGGAGAAUGUAUUAUGCUUUCUCCUGGCAACCCUUCACUAGGCAACAAAGAGAGCCAGUGACUGUGCAUGCACAAUGGGGCUGGAUGUGGCCCCUUAGUAAAGAAGAUGGGAAUUGGGCCCCAUGCACAUGCACCCACGGGGUAGAGGAGGGCCUCUGGGAUGACAGCUGACUGCUCUCUUGCUGUGCAGUGGCCCUGUCUCUCCUCACCUUCAGUCCCAGCAGCCCUAGGGAGUGCCUGCUCAAAACACCCAGCUUUGCUUCUACAGCUUCUGAUACUUUGGACAUUUUUUUUUUAAUCAAAAGCUGUCCAAGGCAUUAACCUCUCUCCUACGGAUGCUGAGCCAUCAUUCUGAUUACACCAGCCCGUGCAGUGAACUAAGUGCAUGCAACCUGGUCUUCUUCACCAUGAGGUAGCCCCGCCACAAGGCUUAGGUGCUAAGCAGCCACUCUGCAUGGCAAACGCGCCACUCCUCGAAGCGGUGCUCAGCAAGGGACAGCCAUGGCAUGAGCGCAGCCACCAGCACUGCCCCAGCCCACUGGCGAACAAGAUGGCGGCUCCCCUCCCGUGCCCGUCGGCGAACAAGAUGGCGGCGCAAAGCCCCGGCCCGCCGCCUGGUGGCCCAGCCCCAUCCACGUGACCUCCCGGCGCUGGAGGAAGCCC